UUUAGCUUUCUGACGUAUGAUUUAGUCCUUACAGAAACACCCUGACAGGAAAAUGUAAGAAGUGAUGGAUGAUUUUUAUUAGGCAGGUUUUUUUAGACUAUACAAACCACACCACAUGAGUGACUCACAUGGGUGAAUGGUUUCUCUCAAGUAUGAAGUCUCACGUGAAGCUCAAGACUCUCUUCCCACACUUCUCUCCGGCGUGGAUUCUCAUGUGUACCAUAAGAUUUGAUGAUUGUGUGAAGCUCUUCCCACACUGAUCACAUGUGAAUGGCUUCUCCCCAGUGUGAACACUCAUGUGAAGCACAAGGUUGUCUUUCCUUGAGAAACGCUUUCAACAUUAAGUGCAGCAAACACUAGCGCUCCCAGAUGGUCAAACACUGCCUGCUUGCAAAUGAUGUUCUCUUCUUUAGGAUGAAAAGGAGAAGAUCAGCAAUCAAUGGUAAAUGCACUUGCUCUUUCUUUUGGUUGUUUUCAUGCCUUAUCUCCUCCUUGCCACUGCUGCUGUGGAUUUUCUUGGCUCUUGUUGCUGCCCUCUACUGGAACAAAGUGGAUAUUGAAACCACAAGUUGUCAAAGCUGCAUUAUUUUUCUUAAAAACUUGUAUUUUACAACACUCAAAGCUUUUACCCAUUACCUCAUUAUUUCCCACUUGUUAUUUCACCGGCUUGUUGAUUCCAGAGAGAGUUUACGGAGAUCACCAGAUCUCGAAACGUGGGUCUGUGCUGAAGAGCUCUGGAUUCAAUUCUGUUCUCGAAGAGCCUACAGAUACAAACACAUAUUAUAUAUGAUAUUAGCUACAACCUGCUGCCUUAAUUCCUCAUCUGUAAAUCGCUUUGGAUGAAAGCAUCUGAU